AGAGGCAAGGAAGAGGACACAUCAGGGCUGGGACCUGACUGUCCCUUCCCAAAGCCAGCUGCUCUCACAGAAGACCCAUGGUAUUCAGUGGAGGGUAUAUCUUUCUGUAUGGAGAUUGCUGUGUCCCUGUAUAGUGAGCCUAUGUGGUGUUUCCUGUUUGCUCGUCCUCUCCUGAGUUUCUGUCCACUGACUUCUCAUUGGAAUUUGCUAUUGGGAACCCCACUCAAAAAUGGACAGCAAGAGAUUAGGAUCACUGUGUUCAGUCCUCAUGUUCCACCCGCAUUAGGAGGCCCCAGUCUGGCCAUCUCAGAUUCUUCAAGACAAGCCAUCCCCACAUGCCCUUUCUUCCCAGUUCAAUAUCUACUUCCCUUAUCCUUCUGCUAGGGUCUGAGUGGCUAUGAAUCCCCUCACCAGCUACGGAGUCAUCCAGCACCCUUCUGCUUGAGGUACUGUAAUGAGUGAGACAACUGGUCCUGUUGGGACCCUCACUGUGUCAUACACAUGCCCUCACCACACCAAGCUGAGCUGUCGUGAAGUGAUCUCUCCUCCCUCAAGUCAGGAAGCGCCACAAGCCCACAGCCACCAUGGCAAAGAGUCCUUCCACAGGCCCAGCCUUGCACCCUGCAUCCAGUGUCGAAAAACCCUGAGGAACCUGUCACCAAGUGGCCAAUGACUGAGAUCCCUGCUUCCCCAGAAGGAGCUAGAAACACCUGCCGCAUGGUUGUUCUCAAACUCACCAUUCUCAAGUCUGUCUGCUGACCUGCAGCCAUCGGCAUGUCACCUGGGUUAGGUGUGAACAGGUUAUUUCACCACUGCAAGUCCCUCUUCCUCCUCCUUGCAAUGUAGACAUCCAGGGCAGGGACUUCUCACAACUGUCUCCCAGGGCCAAGCCCAGUGCUCAGACAUGGUAGUUUUGAGUAAGUACCUGUUGUCUGACAACAGACCAAUGACUAGCCUCGGGUCAUCUGUUAGCCAUCUUCCUUCUUCCCCAAAAUGAGACAGGACCCCAUGAGGCCAGGAGCCUUCAAGUUCCAUAUCUCCAUCUCCAGCCUACUGGGAAGCAUCCUUUAGCACGGCAACUACUCCCAGUGGCUGUUUCUGGACCAACUAUUUCCUCUUCUACAGGCUUCUAAGGGCCUUGCCUCGUUAGCAUCUGUUUAUCAGAACUGACUACAUGAAUUCACCUCUUGAUUUCAUAGUAAGCCUUAAUUUAAGCAAAAUGUUUACAAAGCAACUUUUUAAAGCCGGUGUGGUGGAUCAUGGCUGUAAUCCCAGCAGUUGGGAGGCUGUGGGGACAGAAGGUAGCCAUGAACCCCAGAUCACUCAGGACUGCAGAGUGAGGCACUGUCUCAAAAGAAGAAAAAUAAUCUGCUUCACAGAUUUCCUGCCUGCAAAAUUGUGAAUAAACUCCCAGCAGGAUUUGACCCCCUUCCUGUUCCUUGGGCAAGUGAUUGGUUUGUUUGUUGGGCCCCAUUACCUCCCUGUGAGGGUAAGCCCAUGCAUCAUAUAUGAACUUCAUUAGCUAUUUCUCUAUACAAAACAAGGUGGGGCUCUUAGAGACAUGACCCAGCCAUUGAUGCUUUCGACCUCGACCACUACCGGCCAGAUAUGGAAGUAACCUGAUUGCUGAAAAUUUAAUGUUUUCUUCCAGGCUCUAGAUGCCACCCUCCCUGCACCCCUUUUCCACCUCCCACUUGGAUAAUUAACAAAGAGCUGAGCCUCCCAAAUCUCUCUAGGGGAGCUUUUCCACCCUAGGCUAGUGAUUUCAUGAGCAGAAUGAAGGUUGGUUAGAAGAAUAUUCUCUGAAAUGUCUGACCUUACUCUAUGCUGUCCUUUCCCAGGGACUUGCUAACCCACCCUCUACAGGCUCCCUCGACACAGAGUCCACAGUUGCCCGAGGCUUCUCUCUAAUCUGAGUGACACCUUGUGAUUAGUGCCACUCACAGCAUGGCCUAUCACAUGGCAUGUACCAUCACCUUCAAUAUUAGCUACCUCUGGAGUGCCAGCCUGGGUGGCACGUUGGGGCAGGCCCAGAACGAACCCCGGAGAACCAGAGAAGCAAAACACCUCCUUCAAAAGCAGACAGCUUCACCCACCGGCCUCUCAGAGCAUGUCUGUAGGGCAUCCAACCUUGCUACACAUUGUCUCGCUCACCUCGGCGGCUUGCAGGACCUGAUGAAAGCCUCCAUUACCACCCCUGAAGAUUGCACAAUCAACACUAUGUAGAUAAUGCUGACAAGUUCUUCAGCUAGCUCAAUAUUGUCUGGUGUGUCUGAAGACAACUACAGUGUAUUUACAUAUAAUAAAUAAAUAUAUCUUUAAAAAAAAGAUUUUCCUAAUCCCAUUAUCCUAAUGUUACAGGUCAGGAAGCUGAAUUCAGAGGCUAAUAGCUUGCUCAGAGAUGCAUAGCUAUAAGCACUGAGCUAGACCUGCUUUCUCCUACAUGCUGGCAGCAGAACUUACCUCCAAUUAAUUUAAAUAUUAAUACAACAAGAAGCCUGUGAUUGUACAGUGAAAAAGGAAGGCAGGCAGAGAAUUUUAGAAACAGGAGAGAGAAGACAGAGAGGAGAAGGAAAGAAGAUGGAGGAAGAGAAAGAUGAUCCAGAUUCCACGUGGCUUUAAAUAGCCACAGGUAGCCAUGACUGUCUUAUAAGGGAUAGAUAAUUACAGGACAAUUUGUCCAAUCCAGGUGGGCAGUUUAUAUCAAUAUCAAUUGGCUCUGCGUUCAUUGUGUGGGCGUUUUGUGGGGUGAGAGUUACUGAUAUACCUCUGACUUAUAAAUUACAAGCCUCUAGAGUUUUGACUUUACUGGGUUACUGGGAUUUGGGACCAUUGACCACAGCGGGUAGAUGGCUGAGAAUGUGAGCAGAAUUCGCAACAAGAGAACCACAAGAUGGGUAGUCGCUGCAUGGGAUUAGUCAUGGAGGCAGCAAGGUCACCGGAGUCAGAGAGUAGCCGGUGAUAGCGCAGAAUGGUGCUUUCUUUUUUUUUUAUCUGAACAAACCCUGUAUUCUUUAGACUAUUAUCUCUAAGAUUCCAAACACGUUAUAGCAUUCAACAAAAAUAUUAUAGACAUUUUUCUGCUUUCAUUGUCAAUUUACAGGAUUGUGCUCAGAAAAUAUCCUGAAACAUUUUUAUAAAUCAACUGAGAUAGAACUUAUAUAUGUGUCUGCUUAAACCUUAUUCCCUAAAACCAAAGCUAACAGGCCCUUACAGCCAAGAACUGCUGGUUGUUUUGUUUUGGAGACCGGGUCUUGAUGAUACAGCCCUGGCUAGCCGGUAACUACGCAAACCAGACCGACCUUGAACUCCCAUGACCUGCCUGCCCCGUCUCCCAGUGCUGGGGUUAAAGAUCUGUACCACGGCAAAGAAUAGCUGGUGCUUUAACAGUCAGAGAUACACAUUAGUUUAACUGGAAGUCUGAACCGGAAGCAACCAUGGCAGUAAGCUGAAAUCUGUCAGCUAAUUUGAUAAAACAGUUUUUGUCUCAAAAUUAUCAGCCAUUUCUUUUAGCUGAUACUUCUUUUACUAGCUUUAUAAAAAGAAAAUGAACAGUCUAACUUAACUAUAAAGCUGGUUCUCAUUUUUCACACUGUUAUUUUUUAAAUAGUUUUUAACUUAAUUUAUUCACAUUAUAUUUUUAAACUCUACAUUCUUUUCUAUAUAGUUGCAUGUCAAAAAAAUACUAAAGAGUUGCUGAAAUACAUGUAGGAAAACAUAGAUAUGUGGCAUAAUAGCUUGCUUAAAUUUCUCUUAAAGAAACAUAAUUAAUUUAAAGAGUUCCAACUCAUUUUUUAAAAAAAAAUUCCAGCAAUGAUUAUUUCUGAAAUUAAAAACCAAAAUG
ensembl:antisense Gm38412 predicted gene, 38412